AAUGAAAUUGGAGCAAUGAAGAUUUUCCUAUAUUUGGGCACCUGGGAAAUUUGGAGUUAAUGGUGCAACCUCCCAAUAAAAUU
rfam:Clostridium tetanomorphum DSM 665 contig99, whole genome shotgun sequence.